CCUUGCCUCUGAUACCCAUGCAUCUGGAAAGAUAGCUGUGCUGCACCAGAAACAAAACGGUGGAAGCAGUUGGUUGGAGAACAAGGUGGGACGGGGCAGUCGAGGCAGCAGGCUGGUAUCACGGGUCCUUGUCUUGCUGAGAAGAGUCUUAGAAGGUCAGGAGCCAGGCAUAAAGCGACAUGAGUUGGAAUGUCUUUGAGUAGAACGGUCUUUUCUUGAGAUGAAAGCUUCCUUCCUCCGUCCCUCCCUUCCUUCCUUUCUUUUUGCCAGAUACUCUGAUGCUCACCUCAUGACAGGACAUCAUCAGGGGAGCCAGCACGUAGUUAAGACCCUGCGGUUCUUGUUCUGGAGUUUACACCGCAUCGGAGGAGACAGCAAAGCCUGGAGAAGUGAAGAAGUUCUGAAUCCAUGGUUGGGAGAAAUAUGGCAGCAGAUGGCAAUAUGCACAAGUGGCAUUUGGACCGGCCGGAUGUGAUGGGGAAUUGGGUUGGCUGUGAAAGAAAUCAAAGAAGACUAUUUCUACUGCUCACAACCCUAAACCUUUGAAAAUAUUGGCAGUGCUGCUGGAUUUCCUAUAAUAUUGUGGGAUGAGAGCAUACAUUGUUUUAUUUGAAAAAUAAGGAAAAGAAGGAUCCCAGAAGAUGGCGUGCUUGGGUGGAGGAACUCUUGGGUUAUGGUACUAAUUUCCAACUGAUUAGGGAUUGGAGUUUAAAACCAGUAUUUUAACACAGCAUGGCUGCCGACUUGUAAUGCAUAACAUUAUGUAAUAGCGUAGUAAGAUUACAGAUUUUACUAGCUUCUAGCUAAUUUCUCUGACCACAUUUGUAAAAAUAUAAGCAUCGCAAUAAUGGAUUGUAACAUACUGAAUUUUAGAAGAAUGAAGUUCCAUAGUGAUUUUUGAAAAUGGUGGGGGUGUGUGCAGUAAAAGCUCUUCUUUACGAAAGAAUGGGAAGAUGUGGAGGAGAUGACUGCAUUAGAAAAUCAUCAUUUUGCCACUAACAUUAUAAUAAUCAAUGCAGGCAAAUAUGCUCCUUGGUAUUUAGCCAAAGGAAUUGAAAACUAGGAGUUCCUGUCGUGGCUCAGUGGUUAACGAAUCCGACUAGGAACCAUGAGGUUGUGGGUUUGAUCCCUGGCCUCACUCAGCGGGUUAAGGAUCCAGUGUUGCUGUGAGCUGUGGUGUAGGUUACAGACACGACUCGGAUGCUNCCAUGAGGUUGUGGGUUUGAUCCCUGGCCUCGCUCAGCGGGUUAAGGAUCCAGUGUUGCUGUGAGCUGUGGUGUAGGUUACAGAUACGACUCGGAUGCUGUGUUGCUGUGGCAGUGGUGUAAGCCGGCAGCUGUAGCUCCAAUUCAACCCCUAGCCUGGGAACCUCCAUAUAUGACGUGGGUACAGCCCUAAAAAGCAAAAAAAGGAAAAAGAGAAAAGAAAUGGCUAUGUGUGGUUUACAAGCCUGUUAACACUGUCUUCUAGUUGAUUGACCAAACUAGGACACACGAGUUCAAUCCCUGGCCUUGCUCAGUGGGUUAAGAAGCUGUUGUGUAGGUCACAGAUGCGGCCGGGAUCCUGUGUUGCUGUGGUGCUGGCGAAGGAUGGCGACUACUGCUCUGAUUAGACCCCUAGCCUGGGAACCUCCAUAUGCCACAGGUGCGACCCUAGAAAAGACAAAAAGACAAAAAAAAAAAAAGAAAAAAAAGAAAAGAAAACUUAUGUCCACACAAAACCCUGUACCCAGAUUUUAUAACAGCUUUAUUCAUAAUGGCCCAAUCAUGGAAGAAACCAAGAUGACCCUCAGUAAGUGAACGGAUAAAUAAACUGCCAUAUAUCCGGAUAAUGGAAUUUCA
rnacentral:lncRNA from 1 species